rnacentral:lncRNA from 1 species
UUUUUUUUUUUUUUUUUGCCUUUCAGAAAUGUUAUUGAAAGAAAUUGGCAAGAGUCAUGAAGUAUGUUUGUUCUUGUGCUUCGAUGAUGAUUAAUGAACUCCGUUUUGGAGAGGCAAGAUCUGCACUUGGCAUUAAUAUUAUAAACUUUUCUCAUUCUGGUAGCUUCCCUUUAGGUGGGAAAACUGGUUACAUAAGGCAGUGAUUAAUGAGAUGCCACAAAUGUUGAUUUAGUCCCAGAUAGGGAUUUUUUUCUUCCUCUAAUUUAAAUGCUUCACCAAAAUUAAUUUUAAGUCACACUACAAAUAUGAGUAAAGUGCCGACUCAAGUUGAAAAUACAUCAUAUGCUCAACCUGAGUCCAUAUGCUUUUUUCCAAUUUCUUCCUGUUUUGCUAGGGAAAAAAAAAAAAAAAAUCCUUGAACAGUCUGAGAUUCCAAGAAGGUGUUGCCAUUUUGUUUUUUCAAAACCAUUGGCCAGAUUCUGUUUUGGAUACAGUUUGAAUUUAAAUGGGAGAUACAUAACUUUUAAAAUAUGGGUUCCCCACAGCAUGGUAAUACAGUUUUAAAUGGUGAGUUUCUACUAAUGGGAGUUAAAAGUGAUAAUACUAGCAACACAAAGGUAAAUGGAGAAACUCAUGAAUAUUUCCAUUUUUCAUCUAUCUAAUCCCUAAACAACCUGAAGGAAGAAUUCUCAGUUUCUCAAGAAGGAACGUUCUGUCCUGAAUUAAAGGCAUCAUAUGAUUCCUCUGGGCCAUUUGAAAUAGUAAGAAGCUACAAGCCAAGCUGCUGGUACCUGGACCUCCAGAGGCAUGUUCCCUGAACAGAUCAUGAGGAGCAAUAUGCCAGGUAGGAAAUCAAGGUUAUUAUUCUAGCUGCUUACAACUGACUCCCGCAAGAAAGACUAUUGACCACCUAAUGGUUUCAUGGCAACCCAUAAAACUUCCUGAAUUACAGCUCUAAAACAGAGGUCUCCACUGUCUUGGGAAUGAAGAUAUAUCUCUGGCAUUUUUCAAAUAAAGUAGAAGUUGAAAUUUUCUAACUUUGAUGAAAAAUUAUUAAAACUAAAGAUCUUUUAGAAUAAUAGGUCUAGGCUUAGCCCCAGGAGAUGCUCUGUAAAUUGAGAAAAGAUUGUAAAAUUAAAAAGAAUGUAAAUUUGCAAGGAGAAUAGAGAGCAGUGGAAAGUGGUGGGAUACUCUAAACUCAAACAAAUUGUCACAAAACAUUUUCUCUCCUACUUCCAGAAAAAGCUUAAGAGAGGUAAUCUUUCUAAGGAUUUACAAACAAAAAAGCCUGAUUAUCUCAAUAUGAAAUACCUGUGUUUGUUUAAAAUAUUAUUCCCUUACUGUGUAUACAGGGCAUAUAUCAUGACAUAUUUUGCACAAGAUAACUUAUGACCUGAGCCAAAUAUAUGUAUAAUAAAGCACCGAAUAAAAAUGGGAAAAAAGUACACAAUGUAAUAUGUUGUUUGGUAACAUUUAAGAAAGGUAAAUUUAAAUUUUGUAAAACACUGUCCUAUAUAAAUCCUUAAAAACAUUUUGAUGUAUAUCUUGAAAGUGCUCACAUAAGUUUUAUCUAUUACUUAAAUAAAAGGAAGUCAAAUGGCAUGGGUCAAGUGCUACAGAAAUUAAACAAGACUGGAAGUGAAUAUUUAACAACAUUCAGAAUAGAAGAACUUUCUAAGCAUAAAAGCAGCCAAAGGGGGGGAAAAAAAAGGACUGUAAAUAAAAUAUCAAUAACUAUGUGAAUUUAAAACUUUUUAUGGAAACAAAUAAUAAGACAUAAAAAAUAAGAUAAAUAUGCCCUUGGCUGAUGCAACCCUCUAGUCUCCAUUCAUGUUUGGUUGACCCCCUACUCAUAUCCUGGGUUUCAGUUUAGACAUCAUUUCCUGAUGUUCACAUUAUCUACAGAACAUGCCCCUUUCAAGCAUAAGCCCUGCAUUUCCCUGAUCUCAAAUCUCACACUAUUACCUUUGCCCCAUGACACAGUGUGUUGUGUGAGAGAAAACACAUCUUGUCCAUCCUUGAAAACGUCACACCAGGCCUGCAUACUUGUCAAAUGGUUGAACAAACAAAUGAAUAAACAAAUAUGUUCAUGAAACAAAGUCAAGUGAUAAAAGUAGGCCACCAAAUUGGAAAUACAUUUGAUAAACAUAUGGCUACACACAAAGAAAACAAGUACUAGAAAAGAUGUAUCACAAAAUGAAAGUAUAAAAGGUGCUUAUCUGAGUGAGGGGGUUACAGGCAAUUUAUCCAGAAAACUUUGCUAUGCCUCCUAACAUUUUCUGAAUUUUUUUUUUAAGAAUAAACUUUGCAAAGUGUAAAACGCUAUUUUUCAAUUGAAGAAUAGUUAAGUUACAAUAUAUUAGUUUCAGGUUAUACACCAUUAAAAGUUAUUAUAAGAUAAUGCCUUAUAGUCCUUGUGCUAUACAAUAUAUCCUUGUUGCUUAUUUAUUUUACACACAGUAGUUUGUACUUCUUAAUCCCAUAGCCUUAAUUUGCCCUUCUCCCCUUCCCUCUGCCCUUUGGUGACCACUAUUUUGUUGUCUGUAUCUGUGAGCCUACUUUGUUUUGCAAAUACCUUCACUGCAUUAUUUUUUUGAUUCCACAUGUAAGUGAUAUCAUACAGUAUCUUUGACUUACUUCACUAAGCAAUAUUCUCUAGGUCCAUCCACAUUGUUGCAAAUGGAAGAAUCCUAUUCUUUUUAUAGCUAAGUGAUAUCCCCUUCUAGAUACUUUAUCCAUUCAUCUGUUGAUGAGCACUUGGGUUGCUUAAAUAGUGCUGCUGUGAACACUGGGGUGCAUGUACCUUUUGAAUUGGUAGUUUUCUUUUUCCCCAGAUGUAUGCCUGGGUGUGGAAUUGCUAGAUCAUAUGAUAGUUCUAUUUUUAGCUUUUUUUAAGGCACCCACCUCCAUCCUGUUCUCCAUAGUGGCUGUACCAAUCUACAUGCCCACUAAGAGAACAGAAGGGUUAAAACUCUAAUUCAUCUAAGGUGGUCAAGUGUUACCUUGAAAAAAAGCAUGUACUAGCUCACCACUAAAUUUUGAAAACAUCAAAACAAUAUGUAUCAAGUAUGAAAUAUCAUGACAUUAAAAAAAUAUGUUGACAGCCACCACCUAUGGUAUUUGUCACCAUUAGUUAUACAAAAGACAACAUUCCAAAAUGUGAAUGCAAUUUGCCACAACUGUUAUGCUAUUAAAAAAAAUUACACAUUUAGUUAAACAGUUAACUCCUUAAAAUGGCUUUCUUAAAAAAAAAUUAACAGCAUUCAAGUUUAAUGUGGAGACUGCCAGAAAUCACUCUUUCCAUUUCAAAACUGUUAAGCAGAGUGAGUUCUGCUGGGGUGUCAUCCACCCAGUACGUUUCAGUGCCAGUGUCUACAGUUGUUUGUUUCAGAAUCUCUAAUUAGCUGCCUUAUCUUCUGCUAGGGAUUCUUCUGGUGCUAAGUUUUAAUCGUCCAAAUUAAUUGAAAAUACUGUAGCAAUUUCAGAUUAACAUUUUCAAAAUUAACAAUGCAUAAAAUAAAAUCACCCAUAAAUCUGCUCUGUAACAGCAGCCACUAAUGAACUCUGCAAAACAGACCAGAUCACAUUGCUAAUUUGCACUGUUCCACAGAGCUCAACUUCAGGAAAUAAGCUUUCCCCUGUCCAAAGGUUGGCAUAAGUAGGGUACACAGAGGAUUCCUAGAAGAAUGAGGUCUCUGGAGCCAAACACUGCAAUUAAGUCCUCAUACCAGCCAGGUAAGGUACUUAAAUUACUUUACCUCUCAGAGCUUUGGUUCCCUCUGCAGAAAACUAACAAUAUCUUCUUUGCAGCAGACAGGCUCUAAGAUGAACCCCAAUAUCUCUGCCUCCUGCCAUUCAUAUUCUUGCUUAAUCCCCUCUGCUGAAGGUGGGCAAGACCUGUGACUUGGCCUGUAGCCAAUAGAAAGGUGAUGGGAUGUCUUGUCCGUGAUUGCGUCAUAGAAGACUUAAUUUUCCAUUCUUCUAGGAGACUCUCUCACCUUCUUGGCUUGUACACUUUGAUGAAACAAGUAGCCAUGGUGGAGAGGACACUGUCUGGCUGACAGCAAGCUAGAGAUUGAAGACCUCCAUUCAACAGCCCCAAAGGACCAGAACCCUGCCCACAAGUACAUAAGUAAGCUGCAAAUGGAUCCUUCCUCAGUUGGGCCUUCAGAUGAGACAUAGCCCUGGCUAAACUCCUGAGCGAGGUCUUAGGAGAAACCCUGAAGCCAAGGACACAGCUAAAUGAUGCCCAGACUUCUGACCCACAGAAACUGUAAAAUAGAAAAUGUGCCUUUUUAAGCCACUAAAUGUAUGGUCAUUUGUUACACAGCAAUAGAAAAUUAAUAUAGGAGUGUAUAAGUAUUAAUAGUAGUCACACCACCACCACCACCAUUAUCUACAGAGCACUUACUAUGUGCCAAACCUUGUGGAUAAAUGCUUUACCUAUUAUCUCAUAUCAUCUUCACAAUGACAGGAGGAGGUGUCUGCUACUAUUAUCCCCCAUUUUAGAGAUGAUAAAACAGGUUUCUUGGUCCAAGAUUAUACAAUUAGCAAUGGGGAGGAAACUUUUCUUCCCACCUGCCUCCACGAAAUACGCUAUGUUAGCUCUUGUUUCACCAGUUCUCUAUUUUGAUGAGCCAGUCAACACUAAUGUGUAUGUAGGUAACCGUGGAACAAAGGAUUAUCUCUUUAUAGAAACAGAGAUCCUCCAUCUAAAGAAGAAUAUCACCCUGAGAAUUUAGGUACAACAACAGGGUUACGAGAAGAUACUGCAAGGUAAGAACUUAUUUUUCUUGGUAGCCCUGCAAAUGAAAGCUAUGAGUUGGGAUGAGACUUGGUCAAGAAUCUCCAUUUCUCAUUUUAGGUACAUUCCUCAGGACGGACCUCGUUUGAUACUAGAAAACACUCAAACAGAAGAACCUACACAUGGAAAGAGAACAAGGUAGGAGAGGUGGAAAACCCAGCCACAGUGCGUCCAAGGAGGAAAAUAUCCGAAACUCAUACACAAUAACAAAUGUACAUUACCAUCGGCUCAAGCCAAGCUUCUGUUCUUUCUUUCCCCCUUCUGGUAAGCACAGCCGUUCUUUCUUAAGGAAAGCAAACUUCCUGUGAAAAGGCUGGGUCAGCGCCCCUCCCCUGGUUGGAGGUGGGCACAGAAGCCUGAUGGGUAAUCCCAGGUCCCCAGGCUGCAGUGAUGGCCUCAGAGAUGAGAGCGAUCUGGGCCAGGCCAGUGAAAAACACCUUGGGAGUUUUGUUAGAUUUACUGGAGAAAAGGUGUUCUGUUUUCUCUGGAAUUACUAGCUUUGAGGAACGGAGUGGCUGACUUUGCUUCCAAAUGAGACAAACCUGCCUGAGGUGCCUGUUGACAGAAAAUCAACAGGGAAGAAAGGAAAACCAAGAUACAAGGAGAAACAGGACUGGAUG